GGUUAAAUUUAAAGAUAGAGGUACUUACGAACACUCCAGUGAGCUUGUCAAGCAUCCAGUGCUUUGGCGCUGCGACGCGCUUCAGGUGCUUCUUCGGUCCUCUUGCCUGAAAUCAUGUCAGACACACCGUUACUUAUUUAUUGAAAACGACUAAUCACACAUUGAAUAAGGACAACAAAAUUGCAAGUGUGUGAAACCAUCAUGGUCAGGAAAUACCAGUGAAGCAGACAGACCUCAGCCCUCUUCGCCCUGAUAGAGAUCAAACUCUCCUGGGUCUGAGUCUUCCUCUGCCAAAUGAUGCCACUGAUGCUCACAUAAUGCCGUCUCUUCCUCUCUCUGCAGGAAACAAUCCCAAAGCCCUGGAACGUUAAGCUCCCAAAACAAAAUCUCCCAUGUGUUCAUUCAGAAAUGCUCAAAAUUCAGAGCUCAUACUCAGGGUGGAAGAUGUGAGAUGGGUUGCACAUGUCUGCAUGUUUCUCUCUUUUUGUUUUUUAAUUUAAUAAAAUAUGAAGCUUUUUAUGGCCAAAACUGGGACCUCUCUGAAAUGUCUCCGCUUCAGGUAACGUUUUUCUGUAGAAGCUUCUGAAAAACAUGUUAAAUAUGUAAAAAAUAAAACCAAUACACCUCAAAAACUGA